rnacentral:lncRNA from 1 species
AAAGAGAAAUUCCAUGGGUACAAGUAUGUUCAAGUUGGUACAAGUAUGUACAUAAACUCAUGAUUAAAGAUCUCAGUAUACUAUGAACAUGUGGUAAGAAUGCAUAUAAGAAAGUUAUGCUUAUGAGACUUGAUGACAUUUAUGAAACUUUGCCUUAUGUUAAUUGUAUGAUUUAUGUUGCUUAUUAUUGCAUGUGAACUUACUAAGCUUUAAAGCUUACCCUUUCUUUCCUUUCCUUUCCUUUUCUUAUACUGUCGCCAAGCUAGCUCGGGG